ensembl:piRNA 21ur-8564 ncRNA
UCUGAAGACAUUUUGAUUGGA